UGUCACGUAGGCUCGGCGGAGUAGCAGCGCGCAUGCGCGGCCUGCCUGUCAGUAACCACGUGAUGGACCCGGAAGCCCGAGGGCAGAUGCUAAAUGAUGGCCAUUUGACAUUUGCGUGUGUUCACUAUGGAUAGUUUUACCAAGUACAUUGAUUUGGGCCCUUACAGCUUACAAAGUAAAGAUAACACUUACUCCUCCAAGAAAUUGAUUUCAGCUAAGCAAAACAUUGAUACAGGGCUAUAAUGGAAGUGUUGGACUCAUAAACGUUUUAUGAAAUCAGUGUGUGUGUAUUACAGAAAUCAGAAAUGAGAAGUAAGAACAUGUCUGGGAGAGUGUGACAUAAGAAAAAUAACUUGUAGGCGUAUUUAACAGACAGCAGCAGUUCUCAGGAUUCCCCAUGUUAGAGCCUUCCUUCCUGUCCUCUGAGAAAUGAAAAUGAAAUCCAAAGACCCCCAACUGACUACACGAACCCCCUACUGGCUAAGGAGAUCCCAGGGUUGCCUUGAAGGCAGUUCUCAGCCAUGACAGAUGGGAGUUUCGGCCCAAUUGACCAGUAUUCCUUACUGAUAAGAGACACUGACCAUGGAGUGGUUCUGGUGAGAUGACAUGACCCUCGUGAAGGGGCCUGAAGCUUCAUUGUGUUUGUUCUCCCUCUGUUGCCGAGGCUGGACUGUACUGCCGUGAUCUCGGCUUGCUGCAACCUCCCUGCCUCGGGCUCCCAUGAUUCUCCUGCCUCAGCCUGCCGAGUGCCUGGGAUUGCAGGCAUGCGCCACCACGCCUGACUGGUUUUUGUAUUUUUGGUGGAGAUGGGGUUUCGCUGUGUUGGCCGGGCUGGUCUCCAGCUCCUGACCUUGAGUGAUCUGCCCGCCUCGGCCUCCCGAGGUGCUGGGAUUGCAGACGGAGUCUCUCUCACUCAGUGC
rnacentral:lncRNA from 1 species